rnacentral:rRNA from 1 species
AAAUUGAAGAGUUUGAUCAUGGCUCAGAUUGAACGCUGGCGGCAGGCCUAACACAUGCAAGUCGAGCGGUAGCACAGAGAGCUUGCUCUCGGGUGACGAGCGGCGGACGGGUGAGUAAUGUCUGGGAAACUGCCUGAUGGAGGGGGAUAACUACUGGAAACGGUAGCUAAUACCGCAUAACGUCGCAAGACCAAAGUGGGGGACCUUCGGGCCUCAUGCCAUCAGAUGUGCCCAGAUGGGAUUAGCUAGUAGGUGGGGUAACGGCUCACCUAGGCGACGAUCCCUAGCUGGUCUGAGAGGAUGACCAGCCACACUGGAACUGAGACACGGUCCAGACUCCUACGGGAGGCAGCAGUGGGGAAUAUUGCACAAUGGGCGCAAGCCUGAUGCAGCCAUGCCGCGUGUGUGAAGAAGGCCUUCGGGUUGUAAAGCACUUUCAGCGGGGAGGAAGGCGUUAAGGUUAAUAACCUUGGCGAUUGACGUUACCCGCAGAAGAAGCACCGGCUAACUCCGUGCCAGCAGCCGCGGUAAUACGGAGGGUGCAAGCGUUAAUCGGAAUUACUGGGCGUAAAGCGCACGCAGGCGGUCUGUCAAGUCGGAUGUGAAAUCCCCGGGCUCAACCUGGGAACUGCAUUCGAAACUGGCAGGCUAGAGUCUUGUAGAGGGGGGUAGAAUUCCAGGUGUAGCGGUGAAAUGCGUAGAGAUCUGGAGGAAUACCGGUGGCGAAGGCGGCCCCCUGGACAAAGACUGACGCUCAGGUGCGAAAGCGUGGGGAGCAAACAGGAUUAGAUACCCUGGUAGUCCACGCCGUAAACGAUGUCGAUUUGGAGGUUGUGCCCUUGAGGCGUGGCUUACGGAGCUAACGCGUUAAAUCGACCGCCUGGGGAGUACGGCCGCAAGGUUAAAACUCAAAUGAAUUGACGGGGGCCCGCACAAGCGGUGGAGCAUGUGGUUUAAUUCGAUGCAACGCGAAGAACCUUACCUGGUCUUGACAUCCACAGAACUUAGCAGAGAUGCUUUGGUGCCUUCGGGAACUGUGAGACAGGUGCUGCAUGGCUGUCGUCAGCUCGUGUUGUGAAAUGUUGGGUUAAGUCCCGCAACGAGCGCAACCCUUAUCCUUUGUUGCCAGCGGUCCGGCCGGGAACUCAAAGGAGACUGCCAGUGAUAAACUGGAGGAAGGUGGGGAUGACGUCAAGUCAUCAUGGCCCUUACGACCAGGGCUACACACGUGCUACAAUGGCAUAUACAAAGAGAAGCGACCUCGCGAGAGCAAGCGGACCUCAUAAAGUAUGUCGUAGUCCGGAUUGGAGUCUGCAACUCGACUCCAUGAAGUCGGAAUCGCUAGUAAUCGUAGAUCAGAAUGCUACGGUGAAUACGUUCCCGGGCCUUGUACACACCGCCCGUCACACCAUGGGAGUGGGUUGCAAAAGAAGUAGGUAGCUUAACCUUCGGGAGGGCGCUUACCACUUUGUGAUUCAUGACUGGGGUGAAGUCGUAACAAGGUAACCGUAGGGGAACCUGCGGUUGGAUCACCUCCUUACCUUAAAGAA